rnacentral:lncRNA from 1 species
CGUCUCGCAGCCCCCACUCGUUUGCCACGUUUUGGGGCGCUGGCGCUACCGGGCCUUUGAUGGGAAGAGCUAUGGCUUGGCGGGGGCUUGCACCCAGACGUUGGUGAGCACCUGUGGCACCCAGUUGCCCACCCUCCAUGUCAUGGCGGGCGGCCAGUUUGGCGCGGGACCGGGUGCCUCCUUCAGCCACGUCACGCUCCGCGGUGAUGGUUUCGAGGUCGUCCUGCACCGAGGCGAGGAGACGAUGGCGAGGGUGGCCGGGACCCGGGUCCCCCUGCCCCUCUCACUGGCAGGGGGUCGGGUGCGCCUGGAGCGAAGAGGGGGACAACGGCAGGUGGCCACGGCCAUAGGCGUGCGGGUGGCCGUUGGUGGGGACGGCGCCGUGACGGUGACGGCACCGGCAACGCUACGGGGACAGCUCUGUGGGCUCUGCGCCCAUCCUGAGGAGGGGGCCGGCGAGGGACAGGGGACACAGUGCUGUGAGUGGGGCGUGGGGACGUUAAUUGGGGACGGGGACCCCAGUUAGAGGGUCUGGAGGGAAUGGGGGACCGGGAUGGGGACAACCAAUGGGUUGGGGAUGGGCGUUGAGUUGGGAAUGGGGAUGGAGAAAUGGGUGAAGAAGGUUGAAGGGAUGAGGAAAUGGGGGAAGGAGAUUGAAGGGAUGGGGAAAUGGGAGAAAAAAUGGAGAAAUGGGUGAAGGACUUUGAAGGGAUGAGGGAAGGGAUGAGGAAAUGGAUGAAGAAGGUUGAAGGGAUGAGGAAAUGGGUGAAAGGAUGGAGAAAUGGGUGAAGGACUUUGAAGGGAUGAGGAAAUGGGUGAAGAGGGAUGAAGGGACAAGGAAAUGGGUGAAGGAGGUUGAAGAGAUGGGUGAGAAAAGAUGAAGGGAUGAAGAAAUGGGUGUAGGAGGUUGAAGGGAAGAGGAAAUGGGUGAAGGAGGUCGAAGGGAUGAGGAAAUGGGUCAAGAAGGUUGAAAGGAUGACUGAAGAAGGAUGAAGGGAUGAGGAAAUGGGUGAAGGAGGUCGAAGGGAUGAGGAAAUGGGUGAAGGAGGUUGAGGGAUGAAGAAAUGGGUGAAGGACAAUGAAGGGAUGAGGAAAUGGGUGAAAA